UGGGGAAUAUUGCACAAUGGGCGCAAGCCUGAUGCAGCCAUGCCGCGUGUAUGAAGAAGGCCUUCGGGUUGUAAAGUACUUUCAGCGGGGAGGAAGGGAGUAAAGUUAAUACCUUUGCUCAUUGACGUUACCCGCAGAAGAAGCACCGGCUAACUCCGUGCCAGCAGCCGCGGUAAUACGGAGGGUGCAAGCGUUAAUCGGAAUUACUGGGCGUAAAGCGCACGCAGGCGGUUUGUUAAGUCAGAUGUGAAAUCCCCGGGCUCAACCUGGGAACUGCAUCUGAUACUGGCAAGCUUGAGUCUCGUAGAGGGGGGUAGAAGUCCAGGUGUAGCGGUGAAAUGCGUAGAGAUCUGGAGGAAUACCGGUGGCGAAGGCGGCCCCCUGGACGAAGACUGACGCUCAGGUGCGAAAGCGUGGGGAGCAAACAGG
rnacentral:rRNA from 1 species